rnacentral:lncRNA from 1 species
GAUCCAUAUACGUCCAGAGAGGAGCAGGUAUCAGAUUUGGGGUCUCCAUGUGACCUUUAUUCUUGGUGGGAUUUUCUUCCAGAAAGAAGCCAUCUGAGAAGCUGACUCCCUGCCCCAGUCAAGCCUUCAGAUGACUGUAGCCCCUGGCAAUAUCUUGGGGGCAAUGGAAGGAGACACCCUGAACCAAUCCACACAGAGAAGCUGACCCUGGAUUCCUGAGCUGGAGAGGCUGCUGCCAUGAAGUGAAAAAUCUACUCUGCCACACACAUUCCUACUGCCAUAAUGCACUGUGCCAUCACAGACACAAAGCAACUGGGCCAAGUGUCAUUGGAAUGCAACUGGUUUGAGCAAGGAAAUUCUAUGGAAGGAUCUGAAGAACUGGAUUGAUCGGCCCUUUGCUGUCUAUCCCCACGUAAGAAGAGAACUGCAAGUGCCAAGGCUCAGAAAUGUUCAAGAGUCGGCAUCCUCUGAGGUAUGGUGAGAAAAAGGUUCUUGAGUGAGGAGCAGAGGGUGCCAUGGCCAGGGGCAUGGAGCAAUCCCAGGUUCCAAUCCCAGGUCUGUAUUUACUAGCUUUAUAACCUGGGAGGAGUUUGGGUAAGUCUUUGAGCUUUUCUUUCCUUAUCUAGAAAAAGGGACAUAACAGUACCUACCUUAGAAGAUUUCUUUCAAUACAGCAUUAGUUCCUAUCUCCUUAGGAAAGCUCACCCUCUUAGCGCGGGUCUCUUCUCCAUGGAUCCACCUAAUCCCUUGUUGAAUACGAAGGGUCAGGAGAGAUUCACUGGAGAAGGGAGAAGAUGGUGGGAGGGAGGGUCAUAGGGGGCAAAGUUAAAAGAAGAGUUGAGUGGGAGUCUGGGUCUCAGAAACAUGUCUCAGAUACCAGUCAGAGAAACAUAAGAGGCCCAAGCUUAUUACUUGCUCAGCAUCAGGCACGUGGCUUCUAAUGCUAUAUUUAAAACGCUACUGAAAUUAUGAUCCUGUUGUAGUUCCUUUGCAGGCUCUUCAUCAACCUAGGUGGAAUGUGUGGCUGGCAGGAAGCCAGCAUCAUCCCUUGAUCCCCUCCUCCAUAUGACUCAGCACAGAUCGGACACUUUAAUAGCUUCUGAGUCCAAGUUUGAACUCGCCCCAAAUGAAAGCCUCCCUCCCCUCAGUGCUUCCCCUACCUUCAC